CCCUGCUGCAGCGCGGGGCUGGAGGGGCAAUGGCGGGGCCGGGCUGAGGGCACCGCGAGCGGCCGUGCGGCAGCGGCUGGGGCGGCAUAGCCGCCCCUUUUCGUGGUCGCGUUUUCCCCACCGUGUUGGUUGUUUUUAAAGCCCCGGGUUUUUAAAACCUCGGAUUCGGGCGGGGGGAGGUGGCAGGAGAGAGAAAGAGGCUUCCUCGGGCGGGGGCCGGCGGCCGCGCAUCCGCCCCAUCUGCACACAGAAAUGGCUCCCAACUCCUCCUCCUCCUUCUUCUCCACACACCCCGAGCUCUCCUCCUGCGCUCCCGGAGUGGGGGCAGCGCUGGGAGCUCAGGGAGAGGCCCUGAGGCGAGGGGGGCUGAUGGAGGCGCCUCUGAGGGCUCCCGGCCCCGGGCUCGCAGCCAGUGCAGGCCGGCGGGCCCCUGCCUGAAUCCCGCAGACUUGUCCCGAGGCGCUGAGGGUGGGCCAUUCCUGAGGGGCAUGCAGGAGUGUGUGUAGGAGACACGCUAGGUGGUCCUCGGGGUGCUGCCGAAAGCACGCUGCUGCGAUGUGCUGCAGAUCGCAGUACACGAAAAAAACCUGGCAAGAAUGAUUUAAAGAGGGAAGGAGAAUGGAGCGAGAACUGUAAAGGACUGCUGCCUCAGAACUGCUGUUGCCAUAGAGCUGCUAACAAGGGAAAAAAACUGCAGCAUGGAUUUCUUGUGCUGCUGAAGGUAGACCCUUCACCUCCUGGUGUCCCUAAGGAUCUCAGGUGGGACAGCUUCAUCAUUGGUCCUGGUGCCUUCAUCAGUGCUGUAUUUUGCUGGGAUUCACCUCCAGAAAGAGAUCUAAGAAUCCAUCAUUACAAAAUCUGCAUAAGCUUACAGAGGCCAGAGCAGCUAAUAAAGAUCAGUGGGAAAUGACUAAUGCAGAUGUGCUGCCACGUACCUACCACUGUCUUUUCUGGUAUCUGGAGAGGUACUGGGAGAGCACAACAGCCACUGGUGGAGAAAAACAAGAGAAGAGAAAGGAUUCAUCUGCCAGGAAGAGAUGCAGUCAUGACUCUGGCUUGGUGUAAUAAACAGCAUGUGCUGUUCAGAGAUCUGGCUGUGCACAGGCCAUAUUCCCCUGAUCUCUCUCCAGCUUGGAGAUCCUUCUGCUGUGGUUGAUGUGAACAAGUCUCGUUCUUUGUAUCACCUCCAUUGCAAAUGAGGUUAAGAAAUGGGAACAUUUCAGAGUUGGAAGGAGUGAUCUGGGAUUCUUCAGAUACCAGAAGUUCCUGAUUUUUUUUUUUGUAUAGAUAAUGUCAAUGUUUAUACAUGUAAAAGUGAUAACAGGGAGGUUGGAGAAAUGGUGGGAUUUUGAGUUGGGAUUGGGGGGGUUUGCUGUGAGGUGAAGGCUUCUGAAAUGGCAGAGACUUGGAAAAGAUGGAUGCCUUGGCUUGGAAUGUAUUGCCACAGUCUGGAGCAGGAAAUCAUAUGGGGUUUGAGAUGUGGAACAGAAGAGAGAGAAAAUCUGCCUCACAAGGGAUUGAAGGAAUUUAUUUUAGGGACUUGAAGGAUUGAAGUAACUCAUUUCACAUGACUUUUCCUCCUCUAUCCCAUGCUCAUGACUGCAUGCAACAGUCAUUUUUGCUGAUGGAAAUGUGGUCACUGUAUUUUCUGUCCCACUGUCAUCUCCUUGUCUCUUUACUUGUCCAUAGAGUAUCAUAUACCCUAUGGCAUCAUAUAAUUAAAAUAGAUGAUUAUGCAGAUGUAAGUGGAUCCCUAAGGAAACUUAGCACAUGGACAUAACACCACAGGCAACUUUUAACUGAUUAUGCAGCUAUAAAGAAGUUUCUUAUUUUCAAAACUAAAAACACCUUAACUUUUUUCCCUUCUUUUUAUGCUAACAAACCUAACAUUUUCCUCUCCAGAUAAGCUCUGAAAUGGAAGAGAGAGUGCAGAAUACCUUAUGGACGUGAGGGCUGUAGGUUUAUGGGUUUAGACAUCUCUGAAAAGCACAAAAAUAUUUCCUCCCGUUUGCAACACCCAUCCCCCUGCAGACAGAGUGCAGCCCCUGUAUGCAUUUGGUUUCCAGAUCUGUGAUUCCUACCCUCCUUUUUAUAAGCUGUGAAUUUUUUUCCCUUUCAAAGCACAGAUUUUAAGCCCCCUCCCAUGCCCCCAGGGAAGCUUUUGUCCUGUGAGUGCCCUAGGGUUUUAAAGAAUGUGGAAAGUCCUUGGUUUAUUCUGUUUCUGUACUGCUACCUCCAGUUCCUGAUUCCUGUUCCUCUGUGGCCUCUGCUAAUGCAGAGUCUGUCCCGAAUGGGGGUUUCCUCUGCAGUUCCACUGAAAUGUGGCUGUGUGCACAGGGACUACAGCCUUCUAGGCAGCAUUCUUUUCUUGUUAUUUAGUAGAGAAGAGGUAUCACUUUUUCCCCCUCUCCAUCAUCAGCCUGAUUUUAUUACAAUCCCAUAAUGCCAACACUGUUCAUGUUUCCUCAUCCCAAGACUUGGUGGAUCCAUUCAAACACCGUGUUAAUCCCCCUCUAUUCUCAGUAGCACCUUUAUUAUGGUAUUGCCUUUCCAAGCUACAGUUGAUUUUGCAAGCCUUCACACCAGCUAAUCCAACCUCUUUUGGCUUCUUUCCCAAAGGUGUAGAGUUCUAAGGGGAACAUUCAGCAAGGAUAUUUUUACUCAGUAUCAGUGGAUCCAGAAUUUCUUAUUUUCUUACCUACAGGGCUGCUCACUGCUCUCCAUCACUAGCAGCAAUGAGGGAUAGAUACUGCUUACAGAAUAUAAUCAUUAUAAAAGAAAAUAAGACAAAAACAAGGAAUCUAAAAGCUGUCUUCAUUUUCUAUCUGUAGGUACAAGUCAGGUGGAGCUGCCCUAACAUUUGUGCUGCUAAUUAAGGAAUAGCCUGUUACAUAAUAAACAGUACACACUCUUCUCUAGGAGCAAUCUUGCAGUGAAGCAGGAGAAAUCACCUGGGUGGAGGGACCAAGGAUUAGCUGGUGCCUGAAGCAGAGACUGUAUAGAGAGCACAUCCAACAGUAUUCCUCAGAGCAGCUCUAACAACUCUGGCAGAUCAUAGCAGAACUCUUCUACUUUAUUAUGUGCUGAAAAGUAACUGGUUUUUACACAUUAGACACUAAUCAAGGUCACCCUUUCAUUGCUGAAUGCUCUGCAUUCACUGCACUGUUGGCAGGAGGGCUUGCUCUGCUCCCGUGUGUUCAGAAAAAAAACCCAAAAUAUAAAAAAGGAGAAGAAAUCCUUUGGCCAACCAUCUGUUGGAACAGAGGCCAUGGACACAAUGCAGAUAUGAAUGCCUGGAUGCAUUUUGCAGGUGUGCCCUGUGACCCAUUUUUCCAUGGAGAAAUUCACUGGGAAAAUAGAUUGCACUAGACUGUUCCUGCAACUGCAGUUAAUCGUGCCUUUUCUAUAUUACUGCUACAGGAUUAACACAAACAUUGCUUCUAUUUUCAGGCUUAUCAAAGGCAGCAGCACAUCUCUCUAAUCUCCUAUUUCCCUGCUCUCUUUAAAGUGUUUAAAUGAAUGGAGCACUGAUGAGCAGGGAUGCGGUGCCAGCAGGGAUGGUGUCAUUUAAUGCCUCGCUAUUUAUGCUAUUUAAUGCCUGUGUGGCUUUAUGUGCCCUGGGUGACCUGCAAACCAUCUGGCAGCCUCCACCCUUUCACAGGACAGACGGAGGUGGAAACAGCACCUUCACUUGUCUCUGGUUCAGAGAGUGACCAGCAGCAGUAAAGCAGUACAGUUCUGAUGAGCCUGCUCCUACACAGCCUGCACCUGCUGUCACUGAAGGAUGAAGCUCAGAGGCCAUGGACUGGUGACCCUUGAGACCAGGCAGGCUGGAUCUCAGGGAUCUGUGGGCACUUACCUACAUUCCUGUUGGACUGGUUGGCACACACAACCUGGAUUUUUCUUACAGCUGUAAAAAGCAUAAUGAUACCUGAUCUGCCCCAGCACCUGUUUGUGCACUGUUAACUUGUCAAAAGGUUUCAGACAAGCUGGAAUUGGCAGAAUUGUGUGUGUCAUAUCAGCUCCUUGUCCUAAGAGUCCUACAGCUGGAUUUGCAGUAUCAUUGAAUCACAGCCUGAAUUUGUAGCCGUAUUACUUACACAAAUCACAAAUACUUGGGUUGUGUCCUCCAAUCUGCUAGGAAGUGGGCUGAGAUCCACCCUGCAGCUUUCACACCACUGUCAGCUGGCAUUAACUUCCAGUCAUUUUUUCCUUUGAGGCCAGAUUGAAAUUAGUGACCUAGAAGUAAAAUACUCUGUAUUUUGUUAGCAAGUAGUCCCUGGAGUUGUGCAGUCUAAAUUAGGAUGUUUUCUCAGUGAGCUCUUUUGUAUAUCUUCUAUGGCAAUUGUGCUGUAAUUACCACAAUCCUUUUUCUGGUAGCAGAAUUUAUUAAUUGCUUUUCACUUUCUCCAAUACACUUUCUGCUCAGAUCACAGUGAAAUAAAGAUUUUCUUUAGUGUGUGGAACAGUUAUGAUAGCCUAGUGUAAUGCAUUAGUUUUCUAUGGUGACAUAAUCAGAGAUUAUAUUAUGGAUUCACUGAUAUUCCUGCAAGGAGAGCAAACUGGAAAUGGUGUUGGACACUUACUUCACUGCCUGUUAGCAGUACAGGUGUGGGAUCUGCCCCUGAAAAUGCUCCUGUCUGGGAGAAUAUUUGCAGAAGUAAGAACUAGUCAUGUGUAGAAAAAUUUUCACAAUCAGCCUUCAUAUUUAUGGGAUGGAUCACUUGUGGACAGUGCUGAGAGUCUGCUGGGAAGUGCUGGCUGCCCUUGGCAGUGCCACUGCUGGAGGUUCAUUCUAUUCAGCAUUUUAAGGAAGUGCCCAGCUCUUGUAACUUUACUGCAGCCUGUUCAUAAGAAUAAGUUAUGUCUCCACUUUUUCUGGAGUUCAGAUUCUCUGUUCAGAUUUAAGGUCAGAUCCAGUUGGUCACUCUGUGGCAGUAUAUAAUGAAUUGCCAGCAUCCCAGAACAUACAAAAUUGGAGAUUAGAAGCAGCUCCACCUUAUUAUCAUGAUAGUCAAUUGCAAGUGGUAGUGCAGUGGAUAAGGGCAAGGUAAUGUGACAUAUGAGUGGAAUAGCUCUCAAUCUGUGUAUUAUGAAAUUGUCAUUCUGUGCCACUGUUCAGCAUAAAUGGACUAAUCUUCAGUUUGAAAAUGAGGAGAGCUUGACUGUUAAAGAAUAGGUCAUUUGGCUUCUGGCAGCAGCAGAAGAUGCUGUAAUAUAAGCUGUAAGAACUUGUGCAUUCUUGGUAAGGAGAUAAAAAUGAUUAAAUUGCACUGCUUGCUUCUCUA